ensembl:lncRNA
GUACAUAUAUGGAGGUUAAAGGAGAGCAGAAUGACCAGUCGUGACAGAGACUGGGCUUGAUUCUCAGUUUCUUGCAGUCUGUGGAUCUCUGGAAGAGAUGAUGGGAGGUUAUGAGAGCGUCAUGGAGGGUCAUGUGGAUCAGUCAUCUUUACUGAAUAGGAUGUGUGGACAAAUACCUGGCUUCAAACGUGUGUGCUUAUAUAUAGCAAUGAGGCAAGAAGUCAUUUGACUUUGGAAGGAUGAUGGAAACGUGAAGGUGGAGGAUUGUCAUUCUUACUGAGGCAAAUCAACAGCUGUUUACUAGGGCAAGUGUACAAACUUUUCCAUAGUAUCAGAUUCACCACCUCAUCCUUACUUCCAAGAAACAGCAGAUGAACUUAAAAAAUCCAAAAUUCAAGAAAAAUUCAAUACUAAACUCCACAUAAAAAUUGGUGUGAAAAUAAAGUAUUUUAACAUUAUAUAUGAGAAGCA